rnacentral:lncRNA from 1 species
CUGACGAAGCUCACAUUCUGAGAUAAAGGAGCUGAGGCGCUGAGGGUCGCACAGCUGGUACGUGCUGGAUGGAGUUGGGCCAUGGGCCUGGGUAGUUUGUCUCUAGAGACAGUACACCUCACACGCAUGGACUGCUGCUGUUCCCAGAGCUGAGCGACAACACUUUGGCACAGAGAAGGAAGGAGAAUGGCAAAGCCAAGAUCAAGUCCUCGUAUCUAGGUCUAAAGGAGAGAAGAAGAAGAGGAAGAGGAAGAGGAAGCCGAGUCUUGCUUUGUGUAAGCAAAGGUUUUCCAGAACCCCUCACCAGCAGACUUCUACUUGCAUCUCACUACUACAACAACGAUGUCACAUGGCCAUCCCUCGCUGCAAGCAAAUAUGGAAGAGCUAGUGAAUGUUUCAAGCGGAUGGCAAUGAGGAGAAGGUUCAGAAUGGCUGUUGGAUCCACCCCUCUUCAGUUUUGCCAUAAUCUGUAACUAUUAAUAAGGAGCCUCCUUCCUAGUCAGGUUGACCCAAAUCUCUGGAAAGCCUACUGCACUUUUCAAAAGCAUAGUCAAUAUGCUUUCAUAUUUGGAAACUUUAAAAAUGGAUAAUAUGUAUAAAGAAAAUUAAACUUAAUAUCUACUUGAUGUCUGGAAACCUGUGAAAGAUGUAGUGUUUAAUAUAUG